rnacentral:rRNA from 1 species
UACGGAGGAUGCGAGCGUUAUCCGGAUUUAUUGGGUUUAAAGGGUGCGUAGGCGGAUCGUUAAGUCAGUGGUCAAAUUGAGGGGCUCAACCCCUUCCCGCCAUUGAAACUGGCGAUCUUGAGUGGAAGAGAAGUAUGCGGAAUGCGUGGUGUAGCGGUGAAAUGCAUAGAUAUCACGCAGAACCCCGAUUGCGAAGGCAGCAUGCCGGCUUCCUACUGACGCUGAAGCACGAAAGCUGGGGGAGCGAACAGG